GAAUUGACUCUUCUUUCUUCGAGUCUUGUUUCUCUAUAUAUGUUCAUGGCACUCUGAAAAUCUUGUUGGUCACUUCCAAGAUCUUACCUUUCUUCUCCUCUCUGGUACCUGCUCUCAGUUUGUUCCAACUCCAUCACUUUUUCUUCGCCCGAAUGGAUCAACAGAGAAAUUUUGCACUUACCGAGAUGAGAAAAUCCGUUGAGAAGCUUGGUUCUUCUGCAGAGGGGUACGGAGACCACACACUGAUUAGGUUUUUGAUUGCUCGAUCAAUGGAAGUGGAAAAAGCUGCAAAAAUGUUUGUGCAGUGGCAAAAGUGGAGGAGUGCUAUGGUUCCUAAUGGAUUCAUUUCAGAAUCUGAAAUUCCAGAUGAACUGGAAGCAAGGAAAAUCUUCUUGCAGGGUUUGUCUGGAGAUAAAUUUCCUCUCAUGAUUGUUCAAACCAACAGACAUUUUCCUUCCAAGGAUCAGAUUCAAUUCAAGAAAUAUGUCAUAUAUAUACUGGACAAGACAAUUGCAAGUGCUUUCAAAGGAAGGGAGGUAGGGAAUGAGAAGUUGAUUGGGAUUAUUGAUCUACAAAACAUUUCAUAUAAAAAUAUUGAUGCACGUGGCUUGAUCACAGGAUUUCAAUUUUUACAGAGUUACUACCCUGAACGUUUGGCAAAGUGCUAUAUUUUGCACAUGCCAUGGUUUUUUGUGAGUGUUUGGAAACUAGUUUCUCGUUUCCUAGAGAAAGCUACCCUAGAAAAGUUUUGGUUGGUGAAUGCAGGUUGUAAUUGUGACCAAUGAGGAUGAGACGAGAGAGUUUGUAAGAGAGGUUGGUGAAGAGGUUCUUCCAGAAGUAUAUGGUGGAAAAGCCAAGCUUGUAGCAAUCCAAGAUGCUGAAUUGGAACCACUGCAAAAUGGAUCAAACUGAUUAAGGUGGAUUUUGGUUCGAGGCUGCUAUCGUUAUUCCCAACUUCAAUUACUAAGUGAUGCAAAAUGAGAAAUUCAAUCUAAAGUCAUUGAAUUCAUCACAAAAUAAAAAAUAACAUAAUUAUAAAUAAUUGAUUAGUCCUAAAGAUAAACUAAAUUAUAUAAAUAUCAUGUACUUAUGA